ensembl:lncRNA
AGCUUCACCAGCCUGAGUGACCUGAUGAGAAAUCUCUUCCUGUGAAAGCUGAGGGGAAGGACUUAGGAGUUUCAGCUUCUAGACACCCAGUGGGUGAUGUUACAAAUAUUCGAGGAUCAUCUUCAUAUGAUUGACAGAGCAGGGAAAGAGAGAGAGGCCCAUUCUAUGAAUCUCACAGGAGGUGACAACGAGGUACCUGAAUAGAACAGCUUGGCACAGGCAGGACUGAGAAUCCUCUUGAAAAACCAUGACUGCACAGGCCCCAUCCACGCUGUCUGUGGCAGGUCAGCUGGCUUGGAGAAAACAGCACUCCUCCACGUGACAGUCCUCACAUGCUGCAGACCUGAGAGGGAAAUCCUCUGGAUUCUGACAGCGCUCCUGGGGCUCAGCCCCGGCCCAGCCCUGAGGCUGCCGUGGGAAGAGAGCCUGGAGAGGCUGCGUGGUGCUGCCAUUGCUUCUCCAGGGACCAGAGAGAGCUGCAGCCUGAACGCCUUUGUUCUUCUCAUCCCCCGUGGCCUCUGCUGACUGGAGCCUCAGAAACCCAGCCUGGCCUUUCCCUCUUUCUCCUCACUCACCCGCUCCUCACUCCCUCCCGCUUACUUCCACAUGUUAUUGGAGAGCAGAGCGCUUCUUAAACCUCACAGUCACCCAGAGUUUGUUCCCCAGUAUUGUUACUGCUCUACAGGAGUCAGUUCCUAUCCCUCCCAUUCUCUCAUGCUCCUCUCUCGCUUUCUCAGAUUCUCCUGCUUGUGUUCCUUCCCGUGUCUACAAAGGCAGGAGAGAGAGGAAGGCCAGCAGAGGGCAAAGAGCACCAGAGCUGAAUCAGGAGACAGAGGAGCUGUGUGGGUUUGGUCACUGAUGUGUAUGACUUUGGGCAAACAGUACAUUCUUGUCUGGGCACCAGUGUUGUCAUCUGCAGACGGAGUUGGGUGCCCCCAGGGCAGAAACCCAAUGCCACAUGUUGUGUCGGUAUUGGUGCCAUGAGGAUGCAAAGAAUAAGUCUGUCCUGGCUUUUACAAACUUACUGAGUAAUGUCAUAUUCUUUAUGACACACACACACACAUAUAUUCAGAUAGAGAGAUAAAUUGAUAGAUAAUUACUGGGGGGAGAAAACUGGAUAAAUGAAGGAUCUUAUAGUCCACUGAAUCCAAUAAAAUCUUGCAGAGAGAAUGAACCAGAUUCAUCCUUUCCUUGAAUUCACUUGACCUGCUCCUUGUGUUCAGGUGUGGCGCUCCACCCCAGUUUUUCACCAUUGAUUGAAAUAAGGAAGCACUUAAAGCUGGUUUUGUUUUGUUUUUUUUUUUUGCCGCCACAACGAUCUGCGGCUGGUUCCUGCUUGUGGCAAAAAAACGAUCUUAACCAGAUGAUUGAAGGGCAUGGGAUACACAGCACAAAUCAGAACUGUAAACCAGGCUUAUUCCUGAGUGAAACACACCCUAAACAGAGCUUGCACUCCCUUUGCACUCCUAGGACCCCCUAACUGGGUAAAGAAUAGUCCCACCAUUAUCUAGCUCCUUGUAGUCAACCUCCCAUUCCUUUUCAAACUUUGUGGAUGACUUACCUAAGGCCUGUACAAUAUUCUGAAAACAAAUUAGAAAUCACCUUCUGGUUUUUCCAGAGGUGACUAAAUCCAAAGAGCGCUAGGAAAGUAAAGGACAUGAGGACAUGACGAUGUGAACAACAGUUCUGAGAUAACUAUGUCCAGCAGCAGUGUGGUGAGUUGCUGCUGCUGUUUUUCAUCCAUCAGCAAAGAUGAAAUCUUGGUCCUCUGCACGAGGCUCAGCGACCAAUGCAUACAUCUAUUGUUUGGUCCUGGAAGAACGGAAAGCUCUAGAGUCAGGCUGAAGACUUGCAGCAAUGCUGAUGUUUCACAGAGCCCAGAGAGAGCCACACAUUCGGGCUGACCUGUGCAUGCC